rnacentral:rRNA from 1 species
UACGUAGGUGGCAAGCGUUGUCCGGAUUUACUGGGCGUAAAGGGCGCGUAGGUGGAUAUUUAAGUGGGAUGUGAAAUACUCGGGCUUAACCUGAGUGCUGCAUUCCAAACUGAAUAUCUAGAGUGCAGGAGAGGAAAGUAGAAUUCCUAGUGUAGCGGUGAAAUGCGUAGAGAUUAGGAAGAAUACCAGUGGCGAAGGCGACUUUCUGGACUGUAACUGACACUGAGGCUCGAAAGCGUGGGGAGCAAACAGG